UGCAGUUAUUGCAGAGCAGGAGCUCUGUGGGAAAACUUGUCGAUAUCUUCGUUCAACUAACUUAGUAGUAAGACGGUUACUUCAAGAUUACCCUAUAAUGUAGAAUGGCUGCUUGGUUUGCGUUACACGCCCCUAACUAUAACAGUAAACAGCAGUACGAAAUUCCGCUGCUGCGAACGGGCAGCUCAGGCGGCGGAGGACAAGAAGCUAAAGGUGUCUAGUCCGUAAGUUGUUUCUUUGUUAGCAUGGCGAGGACGUUUGUGGAAAAGGAAGCUGUCAGAAUGAUUGAAUAUACAAUUGUCCAGCUGAUGGAGUUUGUUGGCGUGUCGCCUGGCUUUCAUUGGGAGAAAGAGCAGUCCCCGGGUCGGCACUUCAAAUAAGGACGCUAGCUAGCUCUCGGUUGAGCUAAAAAUUCUACGGCAGUUCUGAGACGGACGGAGCAUAAGCGCUGCUGCUCUGCUCGCAGCCACUAGUUUAGAUGCUACUGCGGCUGAAGAUACCUGGUAGCAGAAGAAGCAACACUCGACACAAAGUUUUGAUUACAAUCAGCACAAUGUGAGAGCAACAAUGGACAAAGAACUCAACAGAUUCAAAUGUAAUCAGGGCUUGUUAUUAUGACAGUGAGUGACUACUACCGCGCAAACGCACAUGGCUGUUACCAUAGUUACAAGAGGCAGAGAGUUACUGGCGACCAGCCCGCAGCCUGCAUUCCACUGCGAAGGGAAGAACUGAGCAAUACCGAUUGCACUGCUCCACAGCUACACUCGCUAGUAGUAGAUCAUGUACAUAUAGAUGCCCCAUCACGCACCAGUGUGGAACAUGCAUGUCUGCCUCAAGAGGCUACCACCGUAUGUACAUGUAUGCAUCUUGGACGUGCCGCGGUCAAUUGCCGGAGAGACAUACAGUGCACGGGCAUGCAGACUGCAUCAGUGUCAGGAACCGUUUGUGUCGUGUGACUGUGCCGGGUGCAUGGGAUCUGCCGAUCCAAUCUGACCUGGGUAACACACAACAUACUAGACUGGACAUCAGCUCGUCAACAUUAACCCAAGUUUUGCUGCCGCAUGUGAUGUUGGUUUUAGGGUGCAAGUCUUUUUUGUCUGUGAAAAUGUGUGUUGGACCACCCAUCGUUUCUUCAUUUGCAUUCAAUGGCAAGGCGGAAUCUUUUACCAGGAGUUUGAAUAUAUGGGGGUUUUUCUUUCGUUUUUUCUUUGAACCGUGCUCAAGCUGACGGUACCCGUGCUCUGCUGCAUAGGAUGUGAUGAUGAAUUGAUAUUAAAUUUCUCUCCCACUGCAGAAGCGUUCUUUCCGCACACCAUCUCACUUUUCUAAACAGUCUCUGGCCUGCGAUAAACGUACCGAUAAUUCUAUUACAAUUUUCGGGGUGGGGCUGGGGGAUAUGCACACACAUCCUUGGGUAGCUGCAAUGUUGCGCGAUUGUAUUGUUGAGGCCAACGAUGCUCUGACCACUGACCUAUGGUUACUAUUUAUUAUUCCUGUAGCUAUGCAAAAGACGUUACCGCGAGAUUCCACACUUUUUUCUUUCAUGAAAAAUAAUAAUAAGUGUAUUGAUGCAAGUCAUGAAUCAUGAUGUCUCAUGACAUCUCACAGCGUGAUUUCACUCCUCGAUCUCUUAUGUUGAUUGUAAAUGUCCAUUGCCUUGACAACCGACAACUUGAGAUAUUGCUCCUGCGUGCCAAGAGCCAUGUUGGAUCUGGGUGUGUGCCUACUGUGUCAGUGCUGCAUGCAUUUGUGUGUGUUUGUGCGUGUGUGUGUGUGUGUGUGUGUGUGUGUG